CCCUAGCCCUGAUGGAAACGGCAUCCUUUACUGACGGGGUUCGGCAGGAAAGAUAUAGUGUACAGCAGGAAAAAGC
rnacentral:sRNA from 1 species